rnacentral:rRNA from 1 species
GAUGAACGCUGGCGGCGUGCUUAACACAUGCAAGUCGAACGGGAAAUACUUCAUUGAGACUUCGGUGGAUUUGAUCUAUUUCUAGUGGCGGACGGGUGAGUAACGCGUGGGUAACCUGCCUUAUACAGGGGGAUAACAGUCAGAAAUGGCUGCUAAUACCGCAUAAGCGCACAGAGCUGCAUGGCUCAGUGUGAAAAACUCCGGUGGUAUAAGAUGGACCCGCGUUGGAUUAGCUGGUUGGUGGGGUAACGGCCCACCAAGGCGACGAUCCAUAGCCGGCCUGAGAGGGUGAACGGCCACAUUGGGACUGAGACACGGCCCAGACUCCUACGGGAGGCAGCAGUGGGGAAUAUUGCACAAUGGGGGAAACCCUGAUGCAGCGACGCCGCGUGAAGGAAGAAGUAUCUCGGUAUGUAAACUUCUAUCAGCAGGGAAGAUAGUGAC